rnacentral:snRNA from 1 species
GGAUGUGAGGGCGAUCUGGCUGCAACAUCUGUCACCCCAUUGAUCGCCAGGGUUGAUUCGGCUGAUCUGGCUGGCUAGGCGGGUGUCCCCUUCCUCCCUCACUGCUCCAUGUGCGUUCCUCCCGAGGCUGUGUGCUCGGUCGAAGAGGACAGCCAUCCCCAAUAGAGGAGGACUGUUCUUCAGUCAAGGGUAUAUGAGUAGCUGUGCUUCCCUGCUAGAACCUCCAAACAAGCUCUAAGAAAUGGAACAGUACCAAUGACUUUAAGUCUUAUGUAUCCAUCCCUGCUUGAAUGUCUAC